rnacentral:lncRNA from 1 species
AAAACAAACUUCAAGACAGAUCUAACCAGAAGAGGUGGGAGGGGAUUUUAUAGUCAUUAAAGGAAAAAGUCACCAAAUAAGAUAUUACAAUCUUAAACAUAUAUACACCAAACUUAGGAGUACCCAACUUCAUAAAAGAAACACUUUUACACUUAAUAUGACAAAUUAAUGUCACCACAGAGAGAGGUAGUAGGUGAUUUUAGUACCCUAUUCUCACAAAUAAAGUGGUCAUCUAGACCUCUAAGACAGAAAAAUUGUGGAGUUAAAUGACAUCAUAAAUCAAGUGGACUUAAUAGGUGUCUAUAGAACAUUCCACCUAAACACUAAAGAAUAUACAUUUUUUUCAGCAGCCCAUGAGACUUUCCCCAGAUAUAGAGCACAUAUUAGAAUACAAAGCAAGUCUCAACAAAUACACGAGAACUGAUUCACAUCCAGCAUUCCAUGUGAGCACUGUGAAUUAACAUUGGGUAUUGCCAACCAAAAAAAAGACAGAAAAACACAAUUUUAUAAAAACUAAAUAACACACCACUGAAUCAAAUCGAAUACAGGACUAAAUCUAGAAGGGAAAAGUAAAAUUCCUAAUAUUAAAUGAAAAUGGCGACAAGCCAAAGCCUCUGGAACCCAAGAAGGCAGUUCUAAGUGUAAUUAAUAUUCAUGGCCCUAACUGCCUACAUCAAAAGACUUGAGAGAUCUCAAAUCACUAGCUGAAUAAUGCUCACAAAGGCCUUAAAAGGGGGAGAACGGUGAACACCCCAAAAAAGUAGACAGGAAGAGCUAAGCCCUAGUAAUCAGGGCUAAAAUUAAUAAAAUAGAAACAAACAAAUGCAAAGAUUCAGUGAAAUAAAGAGCUGAUUUGUUCUUCUGAAGUUUGCUUGUUUAUAUUAUUGUCCUUGUUUUUGUUGUCAACUGAUGCAAACUAAGGUUAUCUGGAAAGAGGAGCUUCGACUGAGAAAAUGCCUCCAUCAUAUUGCCUGUAGGCAAGUCUUUGUGACAUAUUAUUGAUUAUGAUUUAUGUGAGUUGUAAAAUAAGGAUUGCUUUUGGUCAUAUAUCUUAAGAUAGUGACCGAAACCCUAAGACAUAGUUCUUUGAAAAGAUUUAUAAGAUUGACAACCUUUUAGCUAAGUUUUCCUGGCU